ACUAGAUAGAGAGAACAAAAGAACAGUAGAAUGCACAAAAGGUACUGUCUUGAACAUGUUAAGAUUAAAAGGUCAUUGCAAGAAGAACAUUAUACUACAGAUAAAGCAAUACGUCUUUCCACAACUACAAAAGGGUGGCUGAGAAUUUCAUAUGAAAUAUAAUACUGUAAUAUUUUUUUUAUUGUUAUUUCAAACCUAAGCAAAGAGCUUAAAGAAUCCCUGUUCCUUGUAUCAGUUACAAAGACGAGAUACUAUUUUUAUAGACAAGUGUCCCACAAGGUAUAAAACAAUUCAUAAUAUAUGUACAUGCAUCAAAUUGACUUGUGAAUUUUUAGCAUUGUCAUUAUUUUUGCAGCAAAAAUUUAAAAUAUUCUGUGUAAACACAUUACAUAGAGUAAAAAAGUCAGAUCUAAUAAAAACUCUAAUGCCACUUUGGGGGG
rnacentral:misc_RNA from 1 species